CACAAGCGGUGGAUGAUGUGGUUUAAUUCGAUGACAACGCGAAAACCUUACCACCUUUGACAUGUACGGAAUCCUUUAGAGAUAGAGGAGUGCUCGAAAGAGAGCCGUAACACAGGUGCUGCAUGGCUGUCGUCAGCUCGUGUCGUGAGAUGUUGGGUUAAGUCCCGCAACGAGCGCAACCCUUGUCAUUAGUUGCUACAUUCAGUUGGGCACUCUAAUGAGACUGCCGGUGACAAACCGGAGGAAGGUGGGGAUGACGUCAAGUCCUCAUGGCCCUUAUAGGUGGGGCUACACACGUCAUACAAUGGAUGGUACAAAGGGUCGCCAACCCGCGAGGGGGAGCCAAUCCCAUAAAGCCAUUCGUAGUCCGGAUCGCAGUCUGCAACUCGACUGCGUGAAGUCGGAAUCGCUAGUAAUCGUGGAUCAGAAUGUCACGGUGAAUACGUUCCCGGGUCUU
rnacentral:rRNA from 1 species